CUUUGUCGUCUAUUUCAAUCCCAUUCAUUGGUAGUAUCGACCAAGUUACUUAAAACUGUACAUCAACAUGAAGAUCGCACUGGUGUUAUUUCUUUGCACUGUUUUAGUGGGCACGAUCGGAUAUGCAGAAGCUCAAACUGUAGACAUAGAACCGGCAAUCGUCGAGCUGAUAUCAGCGCUUCGAUACAUGUCGUCUAGAAUGGGCAGUAAUCCGAUCGUACAAAGUGCUAUUGAAGAAAUAAUAGGCACAAUUCAAAAAUAUUCUGGCGUUAAUGGUUUCAGAUACUACCCGUAUGGUAUUAAAGGUUAAACUAGAGAUUUAACCUCUUCGAUACUUCCGGAGUAUGAUCGCUCGCCGCCAAACGAAGUGAAUCAUAUGAUGCCAAACUGAAGAACCAAAACAUAACUAAAUUAUCGAUCGAAAAUGUAUUUCGCAUCAUCAAAUUAAAACUCCUGUCGUCUAAUAAAAAUUGCUUACUUGUAAUAA